UUGAACGCUGGCGGCAGGCCUAACCCAUGCAAGUCGCGCGGAUGAAGGGAGUUUGCUCCUGGAUUCAGCGGCGGACGGGUGAGUAAUGCCUAGGAAUCUGCCUGGUAGUGGGGGAUAACGUCCGGAAACGGGCGCUAAUACCGCAUACGUCCUGAGGGAGAAAGUGGGGGAUCUUCGGACCUCACGCUAUCAGAUGAGCCUAGGUCGGAUUAGCUAGUUGGUGGGGUAAAGGCCUACCAAGGCGACGAUCCGUAACUGGUCUGAGAGGAUGAUCAGUCACACUGGAACUGAGACACGGUCCAGACUCCUACGGGAGGCAGCAGUGGGGAAUAUUGGACAAUGGGCGAAAGCCUGAUCCAGCCAUGCCGCGUGUGUGAAGAAGGUCUUCGGAUUGUAAAGCACUUUAAGUUGGGAGGAAGGGCAGUAAGUUAAUACCUUGCUGUUUUGACAUUACCAACAGAAUAAGCACCGGCUAACUUCGUG
rnacentral:rRNA from 1 species